ACGCUCGUGGCGUGAUUGGGCGACUUCUCUCCCCUGUCCCCGCGGACACGCCCCACCCGCUCGGUCCUGGACACACUGCCCCCCUCUCUUGCCUCCACCCCUCUGCGGACUCUGCAGCUCCGCGGCCCCGGCGCGGGGAGAGGGAGGGCACGGGCGCGGGCCGGGCCUCAGGGGUGAGUGUGAAAUAAACAAAUCCUGCAGUGUUUCUGCGUCCUAUUAAAGGCGGGGUCGGAUCUGAAAGGGAAGGGCAGGGGACGCGCGGGGUACCGGAGGAGCCAUCCCGGCAGAGGUUGGGUUUCCUCAAGAUCCUCUGGACGACACAGCUGCGGGGGGUGAGGGGCGGGGCACUCACACCCUUGGAAUGACUAGGUCCCGGGGUUCGGCGGGAGGGGGCGUGCUUCCCUGCCCCGCCUUCCUAUCUGCUUGCCCUGCCUGGGGCUUCACUGUGCCUCUGGCCAUUACCUUCUAGGACUUGCUCAGCCCACACCAG
rnacentral:sRNA from 1 species